UACGUAGGGGGCAAGCGUUGUCCGGAUUUAUUGGGCGUAAAGAGCGUGUAGGCGGUCAGGUAGGUCCGUUGUGAAAACUCGAGGCUCAACCUCGAGACGCCGAUGGAAACCAUCUGACUAGAGUCCGGAAGAGGAGAGUGGAAUUCCUGGUGUAGCGGUGAAAUGCGCAGAUAUCAGGAAGAACACCCGUGGCUAAGGCGGCUCCUCUAGUACGGUACUGACGCUGAGACGCGAAAGCGUGGGGAGCGAACAGG
rnacentral:rRNA from 1 species